GUGAUUCUGAGGGCUGCCUGAUUCAAAGCCAUAAUCCUGGAGAGAAAAUACGCACACAUGCAGAAAUAUAGCUGACCACUGGAUGAUGUCUUUAGUGCAGUCAUAAUUACCUGAAAAAGGUUCUAACUGCCACUGCAAAACUACAACUGAGACACUGAAAGAGAUCUGAGCUAACCAACUCCAUCUUGUUUCCAACUUCCAAGCCAUUGUUGUUCAUUCCUGGGUGCAGGCUGAACUACCUCUGGAGGAACUUAGUUUAUACCUUAUAGUUUAGAACAAAGACGGUAACAAAACAAACCACUUUCUUGCCUGGGGGCUAGACUGCCUUUGUAGGACUAACAAAUUAGCCAAAAGAUUAGAAAUUAUGGUUUAGGAGUCAUGCAGCUGGAGGCUACAAGACUCUGACCCUCCCCAUAUUGCUCCUGGGGAUAACAUCACUUUCUAAAACCUAAGAUCAGUGCUUGAGAUAUUUUGCAGACACUGCACUCGAUGGAUCAGCUGGCACCAUGCGGAUCGAUAAACUGGCUCAUCUGAUCUUGUGGCUCCCACUCAGGAACUGACUGACUCAGUGCAAGAGGACAGCUUCAGCUCCCUAUGAGUUCAUUUCCGACCCAACCAAUCAGCACUCCUGACUCACUGGCUGCCCCCACUUUGACCAAAUUACUCUUAAAAACUCUGAUCUGUGAAUGCUCGAAUGCUGAGGGAGACUGAUUUGAGUAAUAAUAAAACUCCAGUCUCCCGCACAGCUGGCUGUGUGUGAAUUGCUCUUUCUCUAUUGCAAUUCCCCUGUCUUGUUAAAUUGGCUCUGUCUAGGCAGCAAGCAAGGUAAACCUGUUGGACGGUUACAGGACCUCCAAGAAAAGGCCGAUUAAUUUUGCUUGUGUCACUCUGGAAGGCUUCCCAGAAGAGAUGAUGUUUGAAUUGGAUCCUGAAGGGUGACAGAGGAAAUGGCAUGAACAGAGACAUGGAGAUGGGAAGACUGGGAGCAUGUUUAGGGGAGGGCAAAUAUGCCAGUAUUACAGUGCUUUCUGAGUGAGCAGGAUAGGACCAGAUCUCAAAGGACCUUAAGUGCCAAGCUAAAAAUGUGAACUUUAUUGGCCAGGCACGGUGACUUACGCCUGUAAUCCAAGCACUUUGGGAGGCUGAGGCGGGCAGAUCACGAGGUCAGGAGAUCGAGACCAUCCUGGCUAACACGGUGAAACCCCGUCUCUGCUAAAAAUACAAAAAAUUAGACGGGCGUGGUGGCAGGUUCCUAUAGUCCCAGCUACUCGGUAGGCUGAGGCAGGAGAAUGGUGUGAACCCAGGAGGCGGAGCUUACAGUUAGCAGAGAUCAUGCCACUGCACUCCAGCCUGGGUGACAGAGCAAGACUCCGUCUCAAAAAAAAGAAAAAAAAAGAAAAGUGAACUUUGUCAGGGGUUUGACCUAAUCAGAUCCCUCUGGCUGCAGUGUGGAGGACAGAAUAGACUUUAAGAAGCAGGACAAGCAGGACGUGGGGAGAACAGUUAUUGAAGUUUAUUGUGCACAUUCAGAGAAUACCAGGGUAGUAUAAAGGAGGAUGACGGCAAGUGGGAGAGGAGACAAAAAGAGAGAUGAAAACCUCCUCAUCAUCAAUAACGCCACCUUAUUGAAGAGGCCUGGCUUGACCACUCUAUAGAAAAUAGAAUAGAAAAUAGUGUAGAAAUAUCACACAUCCUCAUCACUUCCCUUCCUCCACUUGCUAUAUUUUUCUCCUUAGCAUUAUCACCAUCAGUAUGCAGAUGCAGGUACCACAAAGGCUGCACUUGGGAAGCAAAUACAUGUCUGAGCUUCCUAUAAGCCAAGGCAAAGAGAGAAACAUGGCCAGUUAUGACACCCACAGUCUUCAUUAGGCAAGGACAUGACAUUUUGCCAAAUGAAGUCCUAUUUCUUCAUAGGAUAUAUUUACUUUUCAGAUGCUUAUUAUCUAUUCUCUCACUAGCAUGAACAUUCCAUACAGGAAAGGCUUUUGUUUUAUUAUUUGCUAUGUCCUUGGUGCCAGAACAGUGCCUGGUGUAUAGUAAGUGCUCAAUAAAUAUUUGCUGAUUUUAUAAAUAAAUAAAUAAAGUUUGAGUUUCUUCCCACUCUGUAAAUCAAUAGGUCAAUAUGGUUGAUCAGCUCCUGUUUUCAUUUAUGGAUAAAAUUUACUUCAUUCUAAAAAGCAUUUGAGAUGGCUCCAAAAAUAUAUAAUAUUAAAAGAACAAAACAAAAUGAAGUCUAAAUGACAAAGAGAAUUGCCUAAGAUGAUGAAGCACAGAAAAUCAGUAUGCAGAUGCAGGUACCACAAGGGCUGUACUAAGAUUUUCAAAAUGGGAAGCAAAUACGUGUCUGAGCUUCCUAUACACCAAGGCAAAGAGAGAAACAUGGCCAGUUAUGGCACCCACAGUCUUCAUUAGACAAAGGUGUGACAUUUUCUCAAAGGAAGUCCUAUUUCUUUUUGGUGGAUAAAGAUGAUGUUGAAACCAUCUGCUUUAUGUCCAUGUUGUUUGGUGGGGUGACAGUUAACCCCUUAGCUCUUUUGGAGGGAGCGCAACCUGUGUUCAGCCUUACUUAUCCACUGCAAGAGGUGACCAGAAAUUUAUCCAAACCAGAAACAGCUAGAGAGCAUGAAAAGCUGCAGACAGAUUAAGUGACACUCACCCAAGGGUAGGAUUGAGUGGGGAGAGAAUGUAAACACUCCAUUCCUGACCUCCUGUCCCCUGCAGAAGCUUUAUCAAUCUCUAAGAGAAUUACCUCUGCUUAUAAAAAGGAAAGUUACAUAGAAAUCUGGCAAAGUUACAUUGAAAUCUGGAUCCACUGUUGGUCUCUCUUCCUUUGAUUUAUUAAAGUUUCUUUGAAGUACACUUAAGUAAGAGGUUGAGUUUGGCUGAUGAUUUAUUUUUAAGAGAGUGAAACAAGGUGAGAAAGAGAGAGGAAGCUGCUUUUCCAAAUGAUUAAAAGGUGAGUGUGACUCUAGUAAAGGAUUUUCUUCCUUAAAAGAUAUUUUAAGGGAUUUUUUAAAAGGUAAUACAUCCACAUGAUAAAAAAAAUCCAAUAAGGCCAAAAAACGUAUCAUAUUUUUUGCAUUUUUGCAAAGAUAUUUAUAUUUAGGCAUAUACAUAAAUGCUUUGGUUAAAUAAAUGAGAA
rnacentral:lncRNA from 10 species